AGUUGGUGAUGUGGACAAUCCCGAAGAAGAUCCUUGAAGCAUUCCCAAGCAUGAUAAAGAUUUUUGUCUGGCUUUUGCUUGAAACUUUUUAUCUCACUGCGAAGUCU
rfam:Capsicum annuum cultivar Zunla-1 chromosome 3, whole genome shotgun sequence